ensembl:lncRNA
UUACUACAAGUGCAGCAGUCAUCUCACACUUUCACACUUUUACUGUCAGUCUAUCUAUUCUAAUUUGAUUUAAGCAAAUUUAGGGAAAUUAGGGAAUGAGAGACAUCAUCAAAGCUGAAAGAAGACAAAUAGCAAGUCAGUUAAUCAGAUACUGCAGGAAGCCUCAGAAGGACACAAGCUGAAGGACAACUGUAAAAAAGCUGCAACUUUGAAUGUUUAUGUCCUUCAAAUUUCAGUGAAUUUCCCAACAAAGUCAGUUAUGGAGAAACAUCUGCUCAUACUCCUAAUUUUCACAGAGUGCCGGCGCACAUAAGAAGGAAAUCGCUCCUUCUCCAACUGCCGCACCGGCACGACAUGGGCAGCUUCCUGCCGAACAUUCCGCCAGCCGGAAGGACCGCCGCGGCAGGGCGGGGCUGACGCGACUCCGGCCAGCGAUUGGCGGAUCCAACGGGGAAGUCCCACCACUCAGGCGACGGCGGAGGAGGAUAAAAGGGCGCGCUUCCGGCUGGGAAGGGGAGGAGAAUAUCGUAGCGUCAAGACGGACUCCGAGGCACAAGCGCGGACGAGACCGCCGGAUAGUGAGAGUCGCACACACGGGAGGACGUCGGCCCGGGAA